rnacentral:misc_RNA from 1 species
GAUGAGGAACGCAGCGAAAUGCGAUAAGUAAUGUGAAUUGCAGAAUUCAGUGAAUCAUCGAAUCUUUGAACGCACAUUGCGCCCCUUGGUAUUCCGAGGGGCAUGCCUGUUCGAGCGUCAUAUUAACCACUCCCGCUUGCGGGGUCUUGGGCUUCGCCUCCGGGCGGGCCUUAAAAUCAGUGGCGGUGCCGUCGGGCUCUACGCGUAGUAAAUUUUCUCGCGAUAGGGUCCCGGUGGAUGCUUGCCAACAACCCCCAACUUCUUAAGGUUGACCUCGGAUCAGGUAGGGAUACCCGCUGAACUUAAGCAUAUCAAUAAGCGGAGGA